UAGGGAAUCUUCCACAAUGGACGCAAGUCUGAUGGAGCAACGCCGCGUGAGUGAAGAAGGUUUUCGGAUCGUAAAGCUCUGUUGUUGGUGAAGAAGGAUAGAGGCAGUAACUGGUCUUUAUUUGUCGGUAAUCAACCAGAAAGUCACGGCUAACUACGUGCCAGCAGCCGCGGUAAUACGUAGGUGGCAAGCGUUGUCCGGAUUUAUUGGGCGUAAAGCGAGCGCAGGCGGAAUGAUAAGUCUGAUGUGAAAGCCCACGGCUCAACCGUGGAACUGCAUCGGAAACUGUCAUUCUUGAGUGCAGAAGAGGAGAGUGGAAUUCCAUGUGUAGAGGUGGAAUGCGUAGAUAUAUGGAAGAACACCAGUGGCGAAGGCAGCUCUCUGGUCUGCAACUGACGCUGAGGCUCGAAAGCAUGGGUAGCGAACAGG
rnacentral:rRNA from 1 species